UCCCCAAUGGUCCAGUGGCUAGGAUUCCACGCUCUCACCGAGGCGGCUAGGGUUCGAUUCCCUGUUGGGGAA
rnacentral:tRNA from 1 species